UUUUAAGUGUAUUAUAACCAGAAGUGCAACUCAACGUUAGUACGCAUUAAUUCUAUGCUUCUUCUUGUUGGAUACCGUACGGAUCUCUGCAGAGCAUUUUGAGGAGAAAGACGCCGGCAUUUUCAUUUUAACAAGAAUGUUCUGGAACUUGAAAAAUCAGACUUGGAGAAACAUUUUCAAGUCUGAGAUGAACUAUGAUAAUCCUUAAAAAAAAAAGCGGUUGGUUACUAAAUGCCGCGGCAUGUGUUAGUUGCAUAUUACUUUCUGUUGGAUAAAUGGACGCUGCAGCUCACAGAAAAAGACUAAGAAAUCUCUAAGGAGCCCUUUAUACCCAGUUCAAAUCAAUAUAUGGUUGUAUCAUUAGCAAUAGUUUAUGGUACUUGGUGUUAAAUGAAGGCUCAUAUUGAGAUACGAAAGGUUUCAGAAUGCAGUAGCUCCUAAAUCUGCGAUGUGAACCAACGCGAUGUUCAAUUUCAAUUACUUUAGAAGGAUUGGAAAUUAUUUCACAAAACGCCUGAAUCCUGCCCAAGAAAGUUACCAAUGUUGAGUAGCUCGUACGUCACUUAUUCGACAUCAUGCCAUGCUUAAAUGGAAUCUUGCUAAAUACAAGCCUUUCCUGAGCCUGUGGACCUUCAUGGUACAAUCAACCUGGACCUCAACACCAGCAUAGUUAGUUCGAAUGUCAACUUUGUCCACGCCUCUCUGAAAAAUGGUGAUUGUUCUGGGUGAUGUACUUUUAUUUCAAAUAUUUUAAGUUUAUAAAAUAUUUCACAAAUUUAUGGAGCUAGAUCACCAACCUUGCAUCAAGGUUUCUAAAAUAGUACUCGGAAACUAAAUUUCUUUAUCAAACUUUGUGUAUGGGCAGAUCAUCUGAUUCAUUUCUACCUUAAGAUAAUUUGUUUCUAUUAAAAAGCUUCCUUUAUUGUAUAAACUUCCGUGCAAUUCAAAUUUUUAUAAUUCAAGACAGACGAUUCUGCAAACAAAGUUCAAAGCUGAAACCUGGCAUAAUCCCUCGCUUACAUGGAAAUUCUAGUUUUAGAUAUGAAUUGAACAAAUAUAACAACAUUUCCAGUAUUGCAUAAAAUACCAAAAAAUAUGCAAAAAUUUCUAGUGUAGUAAAAGGAGUUCAAAUGGUAACUUUGAUAUUUUGGCAUCAAGUGCAUCUUACUUUCACCCGAGUAGAAUGUUUCAAAUUAUUUCAAUGUCCAUUGCCUAUUGUGGUCCUUGUCUAUUUUCUAUCUGAGAAACAUUUAAGUUUGUGCACUGCAUUUCAUAAUAAACUUAUACGUAUAACAAAAUACAUUAAAGUGGAUGUAAAAAUUAGAUUCAGUUUUCUCGCAGGUUGAGAAAACCAGUUGGAAUUUGGUCGAAUUCUAUGGAAAUCUAUCAUUAAUUUGGGUUCAAUAAAAGCAAGUAGAAAUAAAGUCAAUCAGUGCAACUAAUUAUUCUAUUUCAGCCAUGAAUAUUUGGAUAAUAUUACGCGAAUCGUCAUAAUUCGAUGUCCUAGAAACUUAGCUAAAGCCAAUUGUAUGAGUUAUUUACUUCAAAGUUAUUGUUCACUGGUAAAAACCGCAAGUCAUUAAACUUUCGGUUAAAAUUCAUGUAGAUAAAAGCUUAACUUUGGAAUUCCUAAAAAUGAUGAUUAAAAUUUCAGUUUAUAGGCUCAUUUUUUAUUGCUAGUGUUAAUUUCAAUCAA